rnacentral:rRNA from 1 species
AUUGAACGCUGGCGGCAGGCUUAACACAUGCAAGUCGAACGAGUGGCGGACGGGUGAGUAAUGUCUGGGAAACUGCCUUAUGGAGGGGGGUAACUACUGGAAACUGUAGCUAAUACCGCAUACCAUCGGAUGUGCCCAGAUGGGAUUAGGUAGUAGGUGGGGUAAUGGCCUACCUAGCCGACGAUCCCUAGCUGGUCUGAGAGGAUGACCAGCCACACUGGAACUGAGACACGGCCCAGACUCCUACGGGAGGCAGCAGUGGGGAAUAUUGCGCAAUGGGCGCAAGCCUGAUGCAGCCAUGCCGCGUGGAUGAAGAAGGCCUUCGGGUUGUAAAGUUCUUUCAGUGGGGAGGCGUUAAUCGCAGAAGAAGCACCGGCUAACUCCGUGCCAGCAGCCGCGGUAAUUC